rnacentral:rRNA from 1 species
CCCUUAGAUGUUCUGGGCUGCACACGUGCUACACUGGCAGGUUCAGCGAGCUUCAUGCCCUGAUCUGAAAGGAAUGGGAAAUCUUUUCAAAACCUGCCGUGCUUGGGAUAGAUGUUUGCAAUUAUUCAUCUUCAACGAGGAUUGCCUUGUAAGCGCACGUCACCAGCGUGCAUUGAGUACGACCCUGUAUUCUGUACACACCGCCCGUCGCUCCUACCGAUUGAAGUUUUCGGUGAGUUGACAGGAGGAUUUUUUUGAAACUGGUUCGCCAGUGGAUUUUAGAUCCAAAUGCCAACGAAUCGAUGGCUUUAGAGGAAGGAGAAGUCGUAACA